rnacentral:rRNA from 1 species
GACGUAGGGCGCGAGCGUUGUCCGGAUUUAUUGGGCGUAAAGAGCUCGUAGGCGGUGUGUCGCGUCGGCCGUGAAAACCUGCAGCUUAACUGUGGGCUUGCGGUCGAUACGGGCAUCACUGGAGUUCGGCAGGGGAGACUGGAAUUCCUGGUGUAGCGGUGAAAUGCGCAGAUAUCAGGAGGAACACCAGUGGCGAAGGCGGCUGACUGGGCAUGGUAUUGACGCUGGAGGUGCGAAAGCGUGGGGAGCAAACAGG